AGGGCCCUGCAAUGCGCGUGUACAAACCGAUAAGUUUUGAGCCAACACCUUUUUCUAGGGAACCUUACUCUGGGCAUGGCCUAUAUGCCUCCUAAACUGAGGACAUAGAAAGUGUUCAGGAGGGUACCCACCUGCGGAGAGCAGGUUCAAAACAUCGGCUCCACGGCAUAUGUGGGGUUUUU
rnacentral:other from 1 species